GAUUAGUUAGGUGCUUAAAUUUUAAGAGAAACCAAAAAGAUUACGAACGGCAAACAAUAAAAUGGCGCGAUCCGCGACGAAACUUGAAUGGGUUGAAGACCAAUUCAUAUUUUAUUUUUGCGACGACUGACUCGUGGAAUAUUUUUAUCUUUUUUCUUCGUCGGUUAAGAUUCAUUUUCUGCGAAGCUACGCGGCCCGGGUUCACGUUUCACUGGUUUCGUCACUCUUCGUCGCGGGUCUCUGCAAAUUGAAAGUCGGUGUAUUUUUUGUUUUUGAAACUUUUGAAGCGUUGCAAUGACAACUAGUAUAGCCGGCGGGAGUGCCCAACUAAAUUACAUAUUCACAGACUUCAAGGGGAAAAAUUGUAGAAGGACUUGUACGGUCUCUGAUGCACCUAUCAAGAGCUAUUUGCAAAAGGAGCUCCCUUGGUCAAAAGGAGCACACAGUGUCCUGUGGAAAAACCGAUGUAAACUUGCUGUAUCUCCACGUUAUAAGAAUUGGAAACCUCUCAGAUCAGCCAUCUCCUCCUACAAGAAAGAUGGUUCCACUAAGUAUUUUGACUUUGCUGUAAUUGGAAGUGGAAUUGCUGGCCUCCGCUAUGCACUUGAAGUUGCAAAACAUGGUUCUGUGGCAGUGGUCACAAAGGCUGAACCUCAUGAAUGCAACACGAAUUAUGCUCAAGGUGGUGUUAGUGCUGUCCUAUGCCCUUCAGAUUCAGUGGAGAGUCACAUGGAGGAUACCAUAGUGGCUGGGGCUUAUCUUUGUGAUGAGGAGACCGUCAGAGUUGUCUGUACUGAAGGACCUGAUAGAGUUCGAGAACUGAUUGCCAUGGGCGCAUCAUUUGAUCAUGGGGAAGAUGGCAACUUGCAUCUAGCAAGGGAAGGAGGUCAUUCGCAUUGUAGAGUUGUUCAUGCUGCUGAUAUGACUGGAAAAGAGAUUGAACGGGCUUUACUGAAGAAAGUUAUCGGUGAUCCUAAUAUUUUUGUCUUCAAACACCACUUUGCUAUAGAUUUGCUCACUUGCCAGGAUGGAUCUGAUAUAGUUUGCCUUGGUUUUGACACUUUAAAUACUGAAACGUUACAGGUGGUAAGAUUCAUUUCAAAGGUGACUUUACUUGCAUCUGGUGGGGCUGGACAUAUUUAUCCUACAACUACAAAUCCCCUGGUAGCCACAGGAGACGGGAUGGCAAUGGCACACCGAGCUCAAGCUGUGAUUUCCAACAUGGAGUUUGUACAAUUUCACCCUACUGCCUUGGCUGAUGAAGGGCUUCCUCUCAAACCAACCAACCCUCGGGAAAAUGCAUUUCUGAUCUCUGAAGCUGUCAGGGGCCAUGGGGCUAUCCUGUAUAAUUUAGGCAUGGAAAGGUUCAUGCCCUUGUAUGAUGAGAGAGCAGAGCUUGCCCCCAGGGAUGUGGUUGCAAGAAGUAUAGAUGAUCAGCUUAAAAAGCGUGAUGAAAUGUAUGUGCUCCUUGACAUUAGUCACAAGCCCAAGGAGGAAAUCCUCUCCCAUUUUCCCAACAUUGCUUCCGUGUGUCUCCUAUAUGGCUUGGACAUAACUCGAUAUCCAAUCCCAGUGGUUCCAGCUGCUCAUUAUAUGUGUGGUGGAGUACGGGCUGGGCUCCAAGGGGAGACAAAUGUACGAGGUCUGUAUGUGGCUGGUGAGGUAGCAUGCACCGGCCUGCAUGGAGCCAAUAGACUUGCUAGCAAUUCAUUGCUUGAGGCACUAGUUUUUGCUCGUAGAGCUGUACAGCCAUCUGUUGAUUGCAUGAAGAGCUCCACUGUGCCUGUUGAUCUGACUGCUUCAAAUUUGUGGCCUAGACCCACUGUGCCUAUGUCACUCGGAAGUAAUGUCAUUAACAAAAUAUCAGCGAUGACAUGGAAAGUGAGGAGAGAACUGCAAUCUAUUAUGUGGAAUCAUGUAGGAAUUAUUCGGUCCACCAUGAGACUAGAAACGGCAAAGCAAAAAAUUGCUGAAUUAGAAGCUAAAUGGGCGGAUUUCUUAUUUCAGCAUGGUUGGAAGCCAACUAUGGUGGGGCCUGAGAUUUGUGAAAUGAGAAACCUUUUUUGUUGUGCUCAACUGGUGGUCAGCAGUGCCCUUUCCAGGCAUGAGAGCCGUGGGCUGCAUUACACAACUGAUUUUCCUCAUCUAGAAGAAAGUGAGAGACUACCAACUAUUAUUUUCCCAAGUUCACUUGUAAAGAGGUCGUGGAGUUCUCUGCAACUACACAAUCAGUCCAUGUAUCAAACUAGAAGUGUCAUUUCAGGAUCAUUCCACAACCUCCUACCCAACUGACAUAUUUUGUUGAGUCGGACACAAUUUUUCAGAGUAUUUGCUGGCUGGAUGUGCCUUGUUUGUCAAACACUUGAAUACUUUAAGAUAGCUUUGACGUCCAGGAUACAUGAAAUAGCAAUCAGACAAGAUUACCGUCACCAUUUGAAGGCUAACCAUGGACAAUAGUGAAUGUUUCUGAAAUUAGAGAGCUGAAAAAAGGGUAUGCUGUGUGCAGCUGUCAUACUUCACCAUGAUAUGCUGAAGUGAGCAUUUUCAUCCAACACGUUAGAAGAUUAACGGGCAUAGCAGCCUUUGCAGCAAAUUUGCGGAUUGCAAUCUAGGUCGCUGUUGCUAAUAAUGGAAUGCUUGCCCUUCACUCUAAUGAGCUGUGAGUUUGAGCAAGCAGUAGAACUAGAAUAAAAUGUAUGAACCAGUGACUUUCAAAUGAUUAGGGAUUACUUUGGGGAUUUUCCUGUUAGCUUAAUGCAACGAAAUCAUCUAUA